GACGAACGCUGGCGGCGUGCUUAACACAUGCAAGUCGAACGGAAAGGCCCUGCUUUUGUGGGGUGCUCGAGUGGCGAACGGGUGAGUAACACGUGAGUAACCUGCCCUUGACUUUGGGAUAACUUCAGGAAACUGGGGCUAAUACCGGAUAGGAGCUCCUGCUGCAUGGUGGGGGUUGGAAAGUUUCGGCGGUUGGGGAUGGACUCGCGGCUUAUCAGCUUGUUGGUGGGGUAGUGGCUUACCAAGGCUUUGACGGGUAGCCGGCCUGAGAGGGUGACCGGCCACAUUGGGACUGAGAUACGGCCCAGACUCCUACGGGAGGCAGCAGUGGGGAAUAUUGCACAAUGGGCGGAAGCCGGAUGCAGCAACGCCGCGGGCGGGAUGACGGCCUUCGGGUUGGAAACCGCUUUCGCCUGUGACGAAGCGUGAGUGACGGUAAUGGGUAAAGAAGCACCGGCUAACUACGUGC
rnacentral:rRNA from 1 species